rnacentral:lncRNA from 1 species
CCUUCCUGGGUUAGGAGGAAGCAGUGCAGUGGGCACUGGCCUGCUGUGACAAGCAGUGAAGGUAGACGGGAGAGGACAGAGGGGCGGGGAUGCGGAUCCUCUCGGGCCAGCGUCCCAGAGAAGCUUGCGUUCGGGGCAGGUGAGCUUUGGUUUGGGUCAUGGUUUCAUCCCCCAUGAGCCACGUGACUUGGACAACCUCAGUUUCCUCGUGUGAAAAGGGAGCAGAUAGUACAGCCCACUUAGAGAGAUGGUUGCUCUGGAGAUUAAAGGGGAUUUAACUUAAAGAAAAAGUGCUAGUGCUUCUGCGUCAGACGUGGACCCACCUGGGGACCCCCUUUGCUGCGACAGUAGACGUGUCUGUUGGGCCUGCCCUCAUCUUCUCCCCACAGAUCUCUUUUUCCAGGCAGCCUCAGCCAGAGCAGCCUCAAGUUCUUGCUCCUGAAUCCAGCCGUGCACUUUACCGGGGUGGUGUGGUCGACACCUGGGGGGCACCAUUCAGCGGGUAAGGACACCUGCUUCAGCCUCUUGUGCCCCCAGGUGUUGGGAUGAGACAGAGCCUGGGGGAAAUGCACCAUCAGUCCUGUUCUCUCCUGGGACCCCAAGCCAGAAAGGCAAAGUGUUGUAAACGCGCUUCAUCGUCAGCAAGCAUGCAUGGAUCCCGCUGCAGUCCGGCUGCGCUGUGUUCCAGUUAUAUGGAGGUAUUGUGUUCUAUGCGGCCACCGCUCUUCCGUUAGAUCUUCAGGCUAUGUCCAGUUUUUCCUCUGUUUUAAACAACACGGUGAUAAAUAUAACCACAUCUUAGUGCAGCGAUGAGUCCAUCUGCUGUACUGGACCAUCCUCACAUUGCUGUGAAGAAAUACCUGACACUGGGUAAUUUAUAAACAGAAGAGGCUUAAUUGGCUCACGGGUCUGUAGGCUGUACAGGAAGCAUGGCAGAUCUGCUCGGCCUCUGAGGAAGCUUCAGGAAACUUAGAAUCAUGGUGAAGGUGAAGGGGGAGUAGGCACAGCUUACAGCCACUCUGAAGCAAGAGAGCAGGGUGGGCAGGAUGGGGGUUGGUGCCUCACGCUGGGAAACAGC